AUGGAAACAGAGAGCCCAUUGCCCAAAAAGCAGGAAAAAGAUAUUAGCAAAGAUUCGGAAAGCUCUCUGUCUACUUGCAGUUCAAAUCAAGAAGCAUCCACCACAUCAAUUGCAAAAGCAGAAGAAAAGCCUGCUGAUGCUGUACAUAGCAUUGAGCAAAGCCCAGCUCCGUCUUCAUCAGAAAAAGAAGCAGGAGAGAAUCCCCCUAAGGAAGGCAAGUGUGAAAAUGUGCCGUCACCUGAAAAAACUACGUUAAGUUCAGGGUCACCAACUGCUGCCCCGCAGGUGGCAGCGGUGCCACCGGCUGUCACCGCUAACACCCUGCAGGCACCAGCGGUGCCACCAGCUGCCACCAACAGCACCCCUCAGGCAGCGGUGCCACCAGCUGCCACCACUAGCGCCCCGCAGGCAGCUGAGGUGCCACCAGCUGCCACCACUAGUGCCACACAGGCAGUGGAGGUGCCACCAGCUGCCACAAACAGCACCUCACAGGUGGCAGCGAUGCCAGUGACCCCUACCAAGAGCACCCCACUGGUGGCAUCAGUGCCACCAGCUGCUGCCAAGAGCGCCCUGCAGGCGGCAGCAGUGCCAGCGACCGCUACCAAGAGCACAACACAAACGAGUGCUGUAUUGCUGUCUUCCAAAACCCAAGUGAGCAGUCUACCAUCCGUGUCCAAGAGCGGCGCUCAGGCGGGCCCCUCCCUGCUGCUGGCCCCCAAAGGCAGCGCUCAGACAAGCACAUCACUGCUGCUGGCGCCCAAGAGCGGCACCCAGGUGGGCACCUCGCUGCUGCUGGCCUCUAAGGGCACUGCCAAAGCGGGUUCCUCGCUCCUGGCCUCCAAGAGCAGUGCAGAGGUGGCUGCCUCGUUGCUGGCUGCACGGAGCGGCGCGCAGCAGGGUGCUUCACUGCUGACCUCCAAGAGCAGCGCUCAGGCGGCGGCAUCACUGCUGGCCGCUCGGAGUGGUGCACAGCAAGGUCCCUCCCGCAGCGGGGCUCAGGCCUCCAAGAGUUCACAGCUCGCUUCCAAGAGCGCGUUCCGCAGGCCAGUGAAGGCCCUGCUAAAGCUUUGUGCAAACCAUUAA
rnacentral:lncRNA from 1 species